rnacentral:rRNA from 1 species
UACGUAGGUGGCAAGCGUUGUCCGGAUUUACUGGGUGUAAAGGGCGUGUAGCCGGGCUGACAAGUCAGAUGUGAAAUCCGGGGGCUCAACCCCCGAACUGCAUUUGAAACUGUUGGUCUUGAGUAUCGGAGAGGCAGGCGGAAUUCCUAGUGUAGCGGUGAAAUGCGUAGAUAUUAGGAGGAACACCAGUGGCGAAGGCGGCCUGCUGGACGACAACUGACGGUGAGGCGCGAAAGCGUGGGUAGCAAACAGG